rnacentral:misc_RNA from 1 species
AAGUCGUAACAAGGUCUCCGUUGGUGAACCAGCGGAGGGAUCAUUACCGAGUUUACAACUCCCAAACCCAAUGUGAACCAUACCAAACUGUUGCCUCGGCGGGGUCACGCCCCGGGUGCGUCGCAGCCCCGGAACCAGGCGCCCGCCGGAGGGACCAACCCAAACCCUUUACUGCAGUCCCGUCGCGGACGUUAUUUCUCACAGCUCUGAGCAAAAAAAAUCAAAAUGAAUCAAAACUUUCAACAACGGAUCUCUUGGUUCUG